GGAAUAGUGUAAUCAAUUACCAUAGUUGUGCAGGAUGAUGGAACAUGUAAUCAGAUCAACACUUUACUAUUAAGGUUAAGUCAGUUGAACAAAAUAUAUUUACCAAUCCAUUUCAAUAGUCUAAACAAUCCAAAUUUAUUUCUAUAAUUUCUUGUAAAUUACUUUAUUUCUAAGAAAUAAAACAAUUUCCAUGAAAUAAAACAGUAAAGUGGAAUGAUGUGUCUCUGUGACACUCCUUUCUUGGCACUUUUAUUCUAUUUUCCCAAGGUUAUACUGUAAUAUAAAAGUGAGGACAUGUUGAAUCAUGAUUGAGACAGCUAUCCACCUAAGUUAAAAUAAAAUGGAUGUUAGCAAUUAUAGGCAACCUUACAGCCUUCUACAAUGAGAAAAAUCCAUACUUUGUUGUUGGCUAUAAAAGGUUCUGACAUGAAAAAUAUGAAAAUUCAAUUAAAAAACUAACGGCCUAUUUUAUGUACAAAAAUUAAUGAACAAAGAACAAAUAUGUUAUACAGCAACAAACAACAACCACUAGAUUACAGGCUCCUGACUUUGGACAGGCACAUUUGAAGGCUUGGGCAUCCCUCCCCUAACCUGGGACAGUGGUGUUACAGUACAACUUACGAACAAACAAAACAAAAAACAUUUGAAAAAGGAAUAACUCAUCAGAUGGAUGCAAAAAGAAAUACAUCUAACAAAAUAAGUAUUAAAAUUUGUCGCGGUUGACAAUGUUUUCUCAGGUUAAUAAUCUGCUCUAUCAUCCUCUCAGCUAUGUGUUAUUUAUAUAUUGUUUGUUUACAGUUCAGAUAUCGUAAUUUUUCGGCUCCAAGCAGUGAUAUCUCACAGGUAUAUAAAUUAAUUGUUAGCUAAUGUCUGGUUUUAAUGAUAUGGUGGCCUUGGUAACUAGAAAGAAUUUGAUUUCUUUUUUUUUUUAUAUUUUAAGGAUAGAUAUGAUAACCUAGAGAGAAACAUGAAAGGAAAGAAAAAUUUGAGAAGGGGAAAAAGGUAGGUUAUUCAGUCAUUUUCCAAAGGGUCCCAUAUUUUCCCUAAAAAUGUUAAGUAUUUCAAAGUUUUGUUAUUGCCUUGUACUGCAUUGCACUUUUUUUUUUAAUUCUUCUGAUAUCUUACUUCCCUGGUAUUGAACUUAUUACUUCUUUUGAAUACUAGGUUAAGGGUUCAAUCAGUUAUUAUUUAUAAAAAGCAGAUGAAACUGAUAAAACUGAUAUGACUAAAAAUUCCUGUGAAAUUACAUUGUAUGAUGAGAGAAAGCUUUGAUUACUAUGACUAAAAAUUCCUGUGAAAUUACAUUGUAUGAUGAGAGAAAGCUUUGAUUACUAUGACUAAAAAUUCCUGUAAAAUUACAUUGUAUGAUGAGAGAAAGCUUUGAUUACUAUGACUAAAAAUUCCUGUGAAAUUACAUUGUAUGAUGAGAGAAAGCUUUGAUUACUAUGACUAAAAAUUCCUGUGAAAUUACAUUGUAUGAUGAGAGAAAGCUUUGAUUACUAUGACUAAAAAUUCCUGUAAAUUUACAUUGUAUGAUGAGAGAAAGCUUUGAUUACUAUGACUAAAAAUUCCUGUGAAAUUACAUUGUAUGAUGAGAGAAAGCUUUGAUUACUAUGACUAAAAAUUCCUGUAAAUUUACUUGUAUGAUGAGAGAAAGCUUUGAUUACUAUGACUAAAAAUUCCUGUAAAUUACAUUGUAUGAUGAGAGAAAGCUUUGAUUACUAUGACUAAAAAUUCCUGUGUGAAAUUACAUUUGUAUGAUGAGAGAAAGCUUUGAUUAUUACUAUGACUAAAAAUUCCUGUGAAAUUACAUUGUAUGAUAGAGAAGCUUUGAUUACUAUGACUAAAAAUUCCUGUGAAAUUACAUUGUAUGAUGAGAGAAAGCUUGAUUACUUGACUAAAAAUUCUUUGAAAUUACAUGAUGAGAGAAAGCUUUGAUUACUAUGACUAAAAAUUCCUGUGAAAUUACAUUGUAUGAUGAGAGAAAGCUUUGAUUACCAUGACUAAAAAUUCCUGUGAAAUUACAUUGUAUGAUGAGAGAAAGCUUUGAUUACUAUGACUAAAAAUUCCUGUGAAAUUACACUGUAUGAUGAGAGAAAGCUUUGAUUACAAUGACUAAAAAUUCCUGUAAAAUUACAUUGUAUGAUGAGAGAAAGCUUUGAUUACUAUGACUAAAACUCUCAAACAAACUUGAGUAUUAAGGGGGCUUGCGGGUCUAAAUCAAAUUUUUUAUUUAAUAUAGGAUUUCGCUAUGUUUUUUAUACUUAAUAGAAAAAUGUAAGAAAAAAAUGGGGUCACCGUUCAUUUACGCUCACAAUAUGCAUUCGAAAGAAGCAUACAUUUUUGUUAAUGUCCUUUUUUUCUGAUGAACUAAUAGGAGAAAAAGCGGUAAUAUUGAAAUAAAAAAGAACUAAAUUACAGAAAUCGCUAAAAUUUUACAAUUAUUUAGUUUAAGGACAACUUAUUUGAAAACAACAAUAAAAAAUAUAGGUCACCAAUGAGUUAAAAAAGAUAUUUCAAUUUAAAUGCCAAAAAAUUGCAUUUUUGCACCAAAGGGAGAUAAUUUGGAGCUUUUUCAAUGAUAUCUACAUUUAAAAAGUCACCUGGGGCCAACAAGAAUUGAUUUCUUGGAAUGAUUUUUGUUCCAUAUGAUUAAGUUACAACUACUAAAGGUAAUUAAUAAAUUUUGUAAUGAAAAAUAAAUGUUGAUUUUUUCUUAACUUUUAUAUUUGUUUAAAUGCAGCUAGAAAAAGCAAUGUUUUAAUUGGAAAAAUAGUUCUGUUUAAACCAACAAAGAGACACAAUGAGAGUCAAAAUUCUAGAAUUUUCUGUUAUUGAUAUAUAUCUGUAUGUAGAUUUACUUGAAAUUGCUUUUUUUGUUCUUUCUUAAAAAAUGGCAAUAAUAAAUUGGUACAAUAAUUUCUGAAUUUACAUUCUUUUAUUAAGGUUUUUAAAGGCAGUGCUUUAAGGCCUGACUUUCAAGUCAUGAGGUUCAUCUUUCCUUACGCGACAUCCAAUAAAUCUAUGCUGAGGUUCAUUUGGCCAGAAAUAGAUCCGGAAAUGUUUAAUUUUCUCCUCUUCUUAUUGUGGUAUGAAAUGGUUUUUGUUUCUUUCAUUUACAUUGGGAAAUAAAGAAACGAUCAGUGUGUAUUGUUCGUUUUAAAAACUUUUUAUUAAUGUGUAUUUUGCAUUAUAAGCAGUCAACCUGAUUACAAACUAUCAUUUUUUUAAUUCCGUGUGGAAAAAGGUCGGGUCAAUUUCGAGUACUAUUUGCCUGUUUGCGAUCUAAUGAUAUUAUAAAAUCAUUUCAGUCGUUGAUAUUACAAUUAAAAGUCGACUGAACAUGAAUUAAUUGCAUAUUAUACAAUUUAAAGCAUUUCUGUACGUGAAGCCGUAUGACGUUAUAGUUAUUUCGGUCUCAGUUAUAUAAGUUGUAAAGUAUGAAAUUAUCGUUCCUGAAUCUGGGUCUCACUAAUUAGAGCGUCAAAAAGUGAUAAGAAGUGACAAUAAAAUUAAUUUAGCGAUAAGAAGCGUCAAGAAGACUAUUUAGCACCGAUACAUGAAUAAAAAAAAUAUCAAUGCAACAACUUAUUCCCAAUAGAUAUUAAAAAAAAAUGCAUUAUUUUAAUAAAGGGGCGGUUAUAAAACAUUUUUUUAUAUAUUACAUUGAUAAAAAAAAAUAUUUUUUUUUUAUAAACAAGAAAGGGAUUGUCUAGUUUUUAUUAGAUAUAAAGAAUAUGUUUUAUGCAAACACUAAAAAUUGGAAAUCAAAACAAAGAUUUUCCAAUUUCCUUUUAAAGAAUUUUUUUAAUCAAAACCAUGCAAUAUCAUUUCCUUUCUAUUAAACAGUGAAAUUUGUCGUUCUUCAUAGGGACAUAUCUAAUACGUGUGGCUUCACACUAUCACACCAAAUGAGAAUAACCUCGUGAGAGAAUAGUGAUUCGCUUGUCCCUUGUUUGUUAUUGUCGCUUCGUCACUAAAUUCUUCUUCUUGUCGCUGUUUGUCGCUAAAAUUCUUCUUGUCUCUUAUUAAUGAGACCGGUCAGUUCCGUCCUUUACUUCCGUUUCUGCACUGCCAAAACAAUCACACAAUUAACGAUACCUAGUCCUUGUUGUGUACCUGAGUGUCAUUUAAGAGGAGGACAUACAUUUCCAAAUGACUUAAUAAGAAGGAAAAGUUGGAUCAACGCCAUGGCUAAUACGUAGAUUGUCACAAUGAAAUCGUAGAGUCCAUCUCAAUCAGCUGUUGUUUGCAAGGCACAUUUUACCGAAAUCGACUACUUUCAGGAAACUAUGCAUGGUAAAACUUUAUUUUCUUUAAGAAAUAUAUACUGUUAUUUAUAUAAUCGCCAUGCAAUUAAACCAAAGUCUGUUUGCAACCGCAAUUAUCGUUUGAAAAUAAAAAAAAGGGGGGUUAAUCCAAGACGUCAUAAUGUUUGGGAUUACGAUUCAAUGUCAUCUGUUUGAGAUUUUUUGGUGAAUGCUAGAAUAAUAAGUUUUUCCUACAAGAGGUAUAUCAUACUGCUAAUUAUUUUAGCAGUUAUUAUGUUAAUGUAGGACGUAGCGACAGGAAUUCAUGAGCUAUAUGCCUCAGGCUUUCAUGAAAAAUAUUAAUGACAAUGUAAACAGGAACAAAACAUUGACAUGAAUGAUGCUCUCUUCUAUGUUAUAGUUAGGUAUGUGUGUUGCAAAGUUUCAAAAAAGCUAAUGUUAUAAAAAUAUUUUCAGGGCACAAACCCACUUUAAAGAGACUUGUCUACUGCCAUUCCCAUCCUAUUUUCAUGCACCAUUUGCAAGCAAGAGCCUGAAUGGUUUGCAAAAUUAAAAAUCAGGACGGUGUCCUGUUAAACCAAAAGAACUAAACUGGGUGAAAAUUGUAGAAAUCUAGAGGAAAGUUUUGAUUUGUGAAAUUGGUUUUCCUGACAAGUCAUUCAUCCUGCAGAAAGGAUUUAUAACUGUCCACCACCAACUGUCGAGCUAAUGUUGAGCUUCACAGAUGGAAUUACUCAAACACCAUCAAUGCCUAUGUUUUCAGCACAGAUUUCGCAAAUCAUGACACAGCUGUGCAUUUUUUGUACCUGUUAAGAGUUGUAUACUAAAUUUUAUUUUUAUAUAAAUAAAUAUAUAUUGUGUCAUUUUAGAACUUGUAUUUUGCCAAAGGAUGCAUAAAUGAAAGUGGUGCAAUUCAUUUUGCUUUGAUAUAUAGAUUUGAAUUACAAUUGUUCAUGUUAUUGUAAUGCAUAUAAAAAUAAGGAGAUGUGGUACAAUGUAUUUAUACAUGAUAUUUAGUGAGUUUAUCAAACUAAAGUGAAUAAGAAAUGGGUAUAAGCAGUUACUACAGGUACUACUGUACAAUCUCAAACAAUGAGAAAAACUCAUACGGUAAAGAGAAUUUCAUAUUUACAAGUAAGUUUUGUUUUUGCGUUGAAUAAUUUUCUUCUAUUGUCUUAAUUGCAAAUAUGGGAAGUGGUUAAAAUGCUAAUGAGACAGCUAUUAUGGCCACCAGAUGUCAUUGUUUCCUUAAUUAAAAACUCCUUUUUCAUUCAUACCGGUAGAUUACUUUAUCAAGUUUCUACUGAAAAAUAGUUUUGCUUGGAGUUAGAAUAAGAAAAAGUAUGGUCAUCAAAAGAGUUGACAUGUUACUAUGUACAUUUACCAUUAUGUUACUUGAUGUUCUUGCAAUACACACAGUACGGAGACUAGUCAAUCUUUGUGAACUAGGAUGGGAGUCAUUGAAUAUACAUAUAUAAUCAAUAAUUAAAAAUAGUCUAUUUAUAUUAAAAAGGAAAAGUUCUUAUAUGUCUUUAAAAUGCAUUUCAUGGCGAGGUACAGAAAAUAUACUGUAAACAGUAGACUAUAGAUAUAGGUGAACUAGGUACAAGAGAAAUCUAAAUCUUAAAUACUACAAACCACCUCUGUUCUGUUCUGAAAGAUAAUGAUAUAACUGGACCAGAAAUACACACAACCUGUAAUUAACUGCAUUUACAGCGCUUUCGCGCUUUGAUUCAUAUUGAAUAUAUUGCAAGUGUAUUUUCCAUUGCAUAUGAUUUAUAAAACGCUUUUUUUGCAGAUAUAUAUGCACAGAUAAACAUGAAAAUAUGAUGCAACUGAAACUUUUGUGGAAAUCCGUGGCUCCAAGGAGUUGAACACUUCUCUUACUCUCUGCUGGAAGGAGAAAUGCAGACUAGAGAGGUAAUUUUUUUCUUUCCUAGAUAAAUCUCUGAAGCAAUAUUGAGAUUAUGAAUACUAGUGAAAACCAGGUAAUGGUAACUUGCCUAAUCCAACACACUGGGGGACCAGAAAAAAAGUGGGAUCAAGCAAGGUGUCAGAAUACUCUGUUUUUUUCUGCAAGGAUAGGCACAUUUAGGUACCAUGAAAAUGUGUCGGUUAAAACAGGAUGUUUGAAUACUCGGGUGUCGGAUAAGGCAAGUUUCACUGUAUGCAUCACUGAAAGAUGCACAAUGGAUAUUAUUCCAUAUGCAUUUUUUUCAUUAUUCAGGUCAAGACUCUAGAUAAUAUAUGUUUAUUAGUGAUGUGUUUUGAUUAAAGAUAUGCUGACUUAGUGACCUACUAUUAAAACCCAGUUGCAACUGGAAACACAUUUUAAAUUAUAAAUGAUUUGAUGAUAGAACAACUGCUACCCCAGGGGCGGAUCCAGCCAUUUUAAAAAGGGGGGUUCCCAACCCAGAGUAAAGAGGGGGGGUGUUCCAACUAUAUGCUCCCAUUUAAAUGCAUUGAUCGUCCAAAAAAAAAAGGGGGGUUUCAACCCCCAGAAAUCCCCACCCCCUGGAUAUGGCCAAUGUACCCAGAGGAGGGUUUAUAUACAUUUUCUGAUUAAAAUAUGGUGGGAAGAAAAACUUUUAAAAACAUCUGUCUCUUUGAAAUCAUGAUUAUUUUAUUUUAACCGUAGAUAAAGUAAUUUCUAGUGAUGAUUUAGACAGAUAUAAGAAGAUGUGGUAUGAGUGCCAAUGAGACAACUCUCUAUCCAAGUCACAAUUUGUAGAAGUAAACCAUUAUAGGCAUAUAUAUAUAUAUUAUAUGUCUGUGUAUAUCUUGCAUUUCUAGAUAGAAAAUGACUGGUUCUUAAAAAUAUGCUGGAAUGCAAUAUUAAGUCUUCCUGGCAACUAUGCAUACAGACAUCUAACAUAUAUGAAGAUUGUAUUGAUUUCUGCUGUAGUCCAUGUGGACUUCUAAUAUCUAGACAGUAAAGCAUAUCAAGUACGGCUAAUUGGUCUUCUGUGGCAGCUUAUUUCCUGUUUUUAUUACUGAUAAAAUUAUAUACAGAAAUUAGUCAAAAAUAUGAUUGUUUUGAGAAUAGAAGAAAUUUAUGAUAUGAGAAAGGGUUAUUCCCAUGGUUGGUGGCAUUUACAGAAAAGUUUGGAAAAUAUCUAGAUAUUUAAUUGAAACCAGAGGUACACAGGGACAUGUUAUCUUAUAAAGUUGCUUUUUAGAAAUUUGAAUGAAAAUCAUUUCACUUUCUAAAAAUGUAAUAAAAAAUGGUUGCUCACCUACAGCAAAGGACAAUCACAAUGAUAAUUAGUUUGACAGUUUAAUUUUUUUCAUGAAUCCUCUUUUUUCAAACAAAAGUACCAAUUAAACUGAAUCUUUCUAGAACUAUACUCCAGAGGUACCUACCAGACAGUAGCCUAACAUCACCAAAAAGUUGGAAGACAGAGGUCAACAUUUAGUUACUGCAAUUCCAUAGAGUUACAAUGAUAAAAUCAACAGUUACAGGAACUUUGUCAAGUCUAGUCUUCAGUCAUGUAAAUGUAAUGAACUUCAACAAUGGGCAAGUGUUUAUAUGAUGUCAAGGUAUAAACUACGAAAAAGUCUUAGAGCUAAUUUCCUAUUGCUUGUAGAGUAAGUCUUUUGUUGGCUUGCUGCUUUGUUUGUAUAAAUGUUAGCUCAAGCAUAUUAAUUAAGAUUGACAUGUGCAAACAAAAUAGAUAGGCAUAGUUAAGUCUGUAUAUAUUACAUUUAAAUUACAAUUGUACAAUAUACAGACAAAGCAAGCUAACCAAAUUUUUACUCUACAUACAUAAGGAAAUUAUCUUUAAUCCAUGUUCUAAAUAAUAUUUGAUAUUAAAUGUUUUUUUAUGAAAUCAUGUCUUUGUUUUAAUAACACUUUAUGGACAUUUAAAGAUUUAAAGUAUAUUUGCACAAAAUCUGCAAAUGAGUAUGACCAGAGUGAAUGACAAUUACGAUCUGUAUUCAGAGGAACUAUCAAAAGAAGAUGUAUUAUGCAAAAAUAGUCUCCUUAAUCUAACCUGUAAAAUUUUUAAUCUAUUAGUGUGUUUGAGUUCUAUAAUUUUUAUAAAUAAAUAAUUAAAAAUCUGAUUUCAUAAUUACAUUUUCUUUUGCAGUGUAUUUUUAGGUAUGUAGUACACAUUACCUUGAGGAACACAAUCCUCUGUUGCUAACCCGGAACAUUGUAGCACUCAUUUUGUGUGAUCCAUGGAACAUUCUACGGGGAACACUAGCUUUUACAUAUAUGUACAAACAUAAGGUUAUUAGAACAAGAACUUUAGAACUUUAGAAAUAAAUUAAACCAUGUGCUUUUAUAUACUUAAUAUAAUAUUUACAGAGCCAAGCUACUAGUGAAUUGGUUCCGGAUAUUUCAAAUUGCCAAAAGGAAAAUUGAAACAGAGCACUAUGCAAUAUGUUAAUCACC
rnacentral:lncRNA from 1 species